GCUGCUGCUCUCUGCCUAACCUCCCCACGCCUCUGUUGUUCUUGCCCAAACCAUGCUGUUACUCCUUAUCUGAACCUACUGUUGCUAAUGCGCUCUGCUGCUUCUUCUCCCAUGUCACUGUUGCUGCUCUUCUUUUCUUUCCCCUACUGCUGCUCCUUCUCUGAACCUCACGAUGCUGCUCCAUCUCCUAAACGCUGCUGCUCCCAACUCCCUGUUGCUAUCUCUCUCUACUUCCCCUGCUACUCUUCUUCUCUAAACCUACCUGCUGCUCUCUCUCUCUCUCUCUCUCUCUCAAAUUUCUGUAACUUUGAGAAGUUUAUUGUUCAGUACUUUGUAAUAUUCAGCAUUGAGAUGUUUUAUUACAUGUAAUAUUCAGAUUUGUUAAGUGUAAUAUCCUACUAUUUGGUUCAGUUUCGAAGUUCAAUAUAAAUGCUUGAUUCGUAUGUCCUUUGUCCUGACUAGUUGAUACCUUGUCACUUUGAGAAAUAUUUGACUUGUCAUACUUUGUUUAGUGAAACAGUAUUCUUCAUAUGUGUGUGGUGUCCUAUGAUAUAUAUACAUAUGUGUGUGUUUGUAAUGUGAGUUAUAUCAAUUCUGUCGUAUAUCCAUGAUUCUUCUCUCUGUACAUGUUAGAUAAACCAAUGUGUUCUAGUCUUGUUGAUUCUCUUGUGUGAUGAUGUUCGCCUGUGUUAGUGUUCUAAUUUCUCAAGCAUAUAGAAAAUACCAAAAAGAGAGUGAGUGCAAUCUUAAUCUCCCUAUGUUGUUCUGCAUUUUCUUUGUCAUCAACCUUGUUUAGUUUAGGUUUAUUUUCUUACAUUCAUAAUCUGAAUUGUGUUACCUAGCUUUAGCCGAGCAUAGUUGCCGUCGCCUAGUCCCUGUGGAGAACACGACAUCCGUAGUUUGGGGCGUAAAAACCCUGCUAUACUUUCAAUAGAUUAUUUUGCCACCGUUGCCGGGGACUAGCGUCGAGCGAUUAUGUUAGGCUAUAGACUAGAUUUACUUUAGUUCCUUGUUCAAUUCGUCGUGUUUUUCAUUUUCAGUGUUUUUCCUCUACUUUCCCCCAUUGUUGCUUCGGCUUAUUAGGAUACUAACCUUCCAACUAGUGUUUACUGUUUAUGAGUGUGUGUAGGGAAUCAUAAAUCUUUGGUGGUUGUUCUAUAGUUACACUUGGUUAAGAUAUGGCAUUGCUUCGUGAUCUGUGGAUGCCAAGUAGUCAAUGUUAUAUCACAGGACCGGUUUGGCCAACUAUUGAGGUAGAGAAUUUUGAGAUGAAGCCUCGUCUUAUUGCUUUGGUUCAACAACAACAGUUUGGAGGACUGCCCACUGAGGAUCCUUAUGAGCACUUAUACCGAGUCAUGGAGUAUUCAGGUCCAGUCAAGUACCAUGGAGUUCCUCAAGAUGCUAUCAAGUGCAUGCUAUUCUCAUUCUCCCUCCGCGAUGAUGCUCGUGCUUUGGUAUCGAUCCUUUCCAUCAAGGUCAUACAGUUGGAAUGAGAUAUCGCGAGCUUUCUUGGAUAAAUAUUUACCACUACACAAGCAGUCCACAAUUCGAGAUGCGAUCUUCAAUUUCGUUCAGCGUGAAGGCGAGAGCUUGUAUGAUGCUUGGGAGAGAUACAAAGCCUUAUUCAGGAGAUGUCCUAAUCAUGGGCUCGAGAGAUGGUUAGAGUUGCAGAUAUUCUAUAGAGGAUUGACUUCGAACACUCGAGUUUAUGUCGAUAUGGUAGCGGGUGGAGCUAUUACAAACAAGACACUUGAUGAAGCUUUUCUGCUGAUUGAGAGCAUAGCUUUCCACCAACUUCAGUGGUACAAUAAGAAGCCCACAUCUGAUUCAUUGGUUUGCUUGCAAAAAAUCACUACACCUCAACCACCAAUUCUUACACAAAAGCCCGAGCCUCUAUCUCAGUUUGACAAGGUUGAGCUUGCAUGGAUUAUAUUUGACGAUGAUGACACCAUUCUAGUGGACACACACGCUACAGAUCAUCUAGAUACUAGUGUUGGAGAUUCAGUUUUGCAUUGUGAUGAUUCUUCCAUGGAUGAGCCAGAGCUGCAGUUCGUUGCUUUUGAUAUUGAGGAGUCACCUUUAGUUGAUAUUGAUCAUGUGCUGCUAGAGCCAGAUAUGAAAUAGUUCGCCUUUGAUGAUGUUAGCCGCAUUGAUUCUUCAACACUGGAGCCUGAGAUGGAGAGCUUCAUGGUUGAUUAUGGUGAGGUGGAUUCAGAUGUCAAGGAGUCAAGCUCUAUUUCACUUGUUGACACAAGUGCGGUGGAAAUUUCUACUACCACACCUCACUUGGUAUCUUCAAUUGAGGUAGUCCUGAAGCUUCUUCCCAAGUAUCUUAGGUAUGAUAUCAGCUUUCUCGACAAGAUAUGCCAUAUCAUGGAUACAGCCUAUGCACCAUGCGAUUUAUUGAUGAUAUCUAUUUAUCAUAUGCUCAAUAGAUAUGCUUAUGUGAUAGGAUACUCUAUUGAUGACAUAGAGGGUAUUGUCCCUAUCAUUUGUAUUGGCUUGGUUGUUCAGUGUGCUUUCAGGUUUAUGCUUGUGCACCAUUCAUUGCGGGCUAACCAAGUUCAAGAUGACAUUCCCUGGGAUCUUGGUGGAUUCACGGCAUGGUGAUGAGGAUAAGCAAGGAGCACACAUGAAGAGAGAAGCUGGAGCAUGCAUGAGGAAGCAAAAGGAGAGGAGUCGCAAUGCACGAGGAUGUGGGAGUGAUCGAGUGAGACCUACAUCAAAGCCCGGUGAGCUGUUCCGUGACCCAUUCUGAAUAUCAUAAAUACAUGCUGAAUUCAAUUGCUAGUUGGGUUGCCUGAGCUAGUUAUUACUUGUUGUCAAGCUGAAAUUCACCUUUGGCAUUGUGCUUGAUGUGAAUUUGUGAACUUGAUUUCUGAAUGCCUUGUAAACUAGUGAUCUACACCAUGCAUGCUUUGCUGAAAUUUGUGGAAGUUAUUAGUUUUGAGUGCUCAAAUCCUAAGUACACUAGAAAACAAUCAUUUUCUGUUUUUACCUUGAUACACCUAGAUCACCAUGUUUAGAUGCUGAAUUUGUGCUAAGUGUGUUCCCAUUGAGAGCAAUCACCUAACCACUAUGGAUUAGCAUGCUAUGUUCCCUAGAUCGGUAGCAUGUGAACCAGACAUGGGGAAGUGAUGAUUCCUAUUUUUGUUCUUAUGCAUUGUUCAUUUAAGAUAAAUAAUAAUGAAUAAAUAAGUCUGGCUACCUACAGUAGCAUGUCAUGUUCCCGGGAUCGGUGGCAUGUGAAAUCGGGUUAGCUUGGGCAGUAAUUAAUAAUAAUAAAAAUGUAAUUGUUGAACCAGGUGUAUACCAUGUUCUCGGGAUCGGUGGUAUGUUCCUUUGGGGAGACAAACAAAAAAAUUAAUAAAAAUUGGUUGAGCCAGGUGUAUACCAUGUUGUCGGGAUCGGUGGUAUGUUCCUUCGGUGAGACUAAUAAAAUAAUAUGUGUGUUUCUUUCAAAUUCAAUAAGUGGUUCAACCACAAAGUCAUAUUUCUGCAAAUAAGAGAUUUAAUUCUAGUUCUUUUUGUUCUCGGGAUCAUGCUCUCUUUAGGAACCAUUUGGCGCAGUCAUCAUUUAAACUUGUUGAUCCUCUUUUAUCACUGUAAAAGUUUAAAAUGGUCAUGCUUACUAGUAUCCUACUGCUUUGUAGCACUCCUAACCAUUAAUUUUCACUAGCUAAGUCUGAAGCAUGCCUUGUUUGGAGAUCUAUUUUACCAGGACAUUCCUUACUCAGUUUACUGUUCAUUAUCUUGCCUUUGUCAUAUUCCUUUGCUUGAGGACAAGCAAAGAUUUAAGUGUGGGGGAACUUGAUAAGUGCAUUUCAUAUAUAUAAUUUGGCACUCAAAUUUAGCAUCUAUCGUGAUAUAUCCAUCCAUUCUUACUAUGAACUGUGAUAUAUUUGGAUAAAAAUCAUAUAAAAGAUCAUUUACUACUCAGUGGUUUGUUUUGCAAAAAAGUGCGAGAAGGCACUAUAAAUCUUCAUGAUUCCGACAUUGAGGAUAACUAUACGAGAUAAGGGCAGGAAAGAAGAAGAAGAACAAGACAAGAAGCUAGAAGAGAUGAAGAAAGGACUUGGGUGAGAAGAAACGAAGUAAGCAGAGGGGCAAGUUAAAGGAGAGAGGGACCUUCUUGUGAAGGAAGAAGAAAAGGAGAAGGGCCAAUGUGCAAAUGGGCAGAUCUGAUCGAAGGGGAACAAAAUCCCUAGCGGCAUCCUUCUUUCUCCUUGGGCCUGGCAUCUCAUCUCUCUCCUUCUCCCCUUCUUCUCCACCACCAGCCGCCGCCACGGCCAAGCCGGCGUGGUGGUGCGCCUCCGCAGCCCAUCCAUCCACCAGAACCACCAUCACACGGCCAUCCCACCACAGCACCCAUCUCCAUCCACCAGCGUUGCAUCACCACCUCGCGCCAUCCAUCUCCCACCUCCAGCACCACCACGCCUCAACCCCACGCUCGUGCGCCCAACCAGACGAGGCGUCUGGUGCCCUACGCGACUCUCCCUGCCCCCUACUUAUUCUGUUGUUGCUCUUCUUGUUGCGCCUGACCUUUGCUGCUCCUUCUUCCCCUACAUUGCUGCUGCUCUCUGCCUAACCUCCCCAUGCCUCUGUUGUUCUUCUUGCCCAAACCAUGAUGUUACUCCUUAUCUGAACCUACUGUUGCCACUGCGCUCUGCUGCUUCUUCUCCCAUGUCACUGUUGCUGCUCUUCUUUUCUUUCCCCUACUGCUGCUCCUUCUCUGAACCUCACGAUGCUGCUCCAUCUCCUAAACGCUGCUGCU
rnacentral:lncRNA from 1 species